rnacentral:rRNA from 1 species
UACGUAGGGUGCAAGCGUUAAUCGGAAUUACUGGGCGUAAAGCGUGCGCAGGCGGUUUUGUAAGUCUGUCGUGAAAGCCCCGGGCUCAACCUGGGAAUUGCGAUGGAGACUGCAAGGCUUGAAUCUGGCAGAGGGGGGUAGAAUUCCACGUGUAGCAGUGAAAUGCGUAGAGAUGUGGAGGAACACCGAUGGCGAAGGCAGCCCCCUGGGUCAAGAUGACGACGUCAUGCACGAAAGCGUGGGGAGCAAACAGG